rnacentral:rRNA from 1 species
UACCCGCAGCCCAAGUGGUGGUCGAUUUUAUUGAGUCUAAAACGUUCGUAGCCGGUUUGGUAAAUCCUUGGGUAAAUCGAGAGGCUUAACCUUUCGAAUUCCGAGGAGACUGCCAAACUUGGGACCGGGAGAGGCGAGAGGUACUUCUGGGGUAGGGGUAAAAUCCUGUAAUCCUAGAAGGACCACCGGUGGCGAAGGCGUCUCGCUAGAACGGAUCCGACGGUGAGGGACGAAGCCCUGGGUCGCAAACGGGAUUAGAUACCCCGGUAGUCCAGGGUGUAAACGCUGCAGACUUGGUGUUGGGGGCCCUACGGGGGCGUUCAGUGCCGGAGAGAAGUUGUUAAGUCUGCUACUUGGGGAGUACGUCCGCAAGGAUGAAACUUAA